rnacentral:lncRNA from 1 species
AAAAAAAAAAAAAAAAACUCUUCCAAAAAAGCACCGGUCUGCAGAUGUCUGCAAGAGAAUCAACAAACCCUCCUUCUUCUACGGCAGGGCAGCUGUGGUUUAUCUUUACCUCAGAGAAAGCCAAAAUGAGUUUCUGUGAAAUGGCUGAAAAAGCAUACACGGUAAGUCUUCUAUCACAUUAUUUCCAGUCUUGCUGAUUUGUAAAAGAUCUUUCAGAAAGAUUCUGUCUUUCUAUGUAAAAUGUUAAAGUUUGGUUCUGUGCCCAAAAUUUAUAAAAGGAACUGCAAAUAACCAGUGAAAGUUUAGCUUUUAAAACUCCCGAGACUGCUUGCAAUCACAUGGAGUUUGUGCUAAUGUUUAACCCAACAUUUUCCCUCAAAUAAAAUAAUAUUCUAGCAUAUCA